GACGAACGCUGGCGGCGUGCUUAACACAUGCAAGUCGAACGGAAAGGCCCUGCUUUUGUGGGGUGCUCGAGUGGCGAACGGGUGAGUAACACGUGAGUAACCUGCCCUUGACUUUGGGAUAACUUCAGGAAACUGGGGCUAAUACCGGAUAGGAGCUCCUGCUGCAUGGUGGGGGUUGGAAAGUUUCGGCGGUUGGGGAUGGACUCGCGGCUUAUCAGCUUGUUGGUGGGGUAGUGGCUUACCAAGGCUUUGACGGGUAGCCGGCCUGAGAGGGUGACCGGCCACAUUGGGACUGAGAUACGGCCCAGACUCCUACGGGAGGCAGCAGUGGGGAAUAUUGCACAAUGGGCGGAAGCCUGAUGCAGCAACGCCGCGUGCGGGAUGACGGCCUUCGGGUUGUAAACCGCUUUCGCCUGUGACGAAGCGUGAGUGACGGUAAUGGGUAAAGAAGCACCGGCUAACUACGUGCCAGCAGCCGCGGUGAUACGUAGGGUGCGAGCGUUGUCCGGAUUUAUUGGGCGUAAAGGGCUCGUAGGUGGUUGAUCGCGUCGGAAGUGUAAUCUUGGGGCUUAACCCUGAGCGUGCUUUCGAUACGGGUUGACUUGAGGAAGGUAGGGGAGAAUGGAAUUCCUGGUGGAGCGGUGGAAUGCGCAGAUAUCAGGAGGAACACCAGUGGCGAAGGCGGUUCUCUGGGCCUUUCCUGACGCUGAGGAGCGGAAGCGUGGGGAGCGAACAGGCUUAGAUACCCUGGUAGUCCACGCUGUAAACGGUGGGUACUAGGUGUGGGGUCCAUUCCACGGGUUCCGUGCCGUAGCUAACGCUUUAAGUACCCCGCCUGGGGAGUACGGCCGCAAGGCUAAAACUCAAAGGAAUUGACGGGGCCCCGCACAAGCGGCGGAGCAUGCGGAUUAAUUCGAUGCAACGCGUAGAACCUUACCUGGGUUUGACAUGGAUCGGGAGCGCUCAGAGAUGGGUGUGCCUCUUUUGGGGUCGGUUCACAGGUGGUGCAUGGCUGUCGUCAGCUCGUGUCGUGAGAUGUUGGGUUAAGUCCCGCAACGAGCGCAACCCUUGUUCACUGUUGCCAGCACGUUAUGGUGGGGACUCAGUGGAGACCGCCGGGGUCAACUCGGAGGAAGGUGGGGAUGACGUCAAGUCAUCAUGCCCCUUAUGUCCAGGGCUUCACGCAUGCUACAAUGGCUGGUACAGAGAGUGGCGAGCCUGUGAGGGUGAGCGAAUCUCGGAAAGCCGGUCUCAGUUCGGAUUGGGGUCUGCAACUCGACCUCAUGAAGUCGGAGUCGCUAGUAAUCGCAGAUCAGCAACGCUGCGGUGAAUACGUUCCCGGGGCU
rnacentral:rRNA from 1 species